GCUGUGAAAAGUAUACCUUUCCUUUUCCUAUCCUUUCUUCUCUACUGGCUAUCCUAUCCUUUCCUUGAGUUUGUUUCUUUCCGCUGCAAAAAAGAAGCUAGUCUACCAGCGCUUCGUUCUAGCUCGAAAGCAAGGUUCUAUGAAGACUCACAAGCACAAGCAAAAGUAGCCCCUCCCUUAGAGCAGUCUCUUUUGAAACAAGUCAAGGAAACCAGUCAAGUCAACCUGACCCGAGAUGCAAUGCAAUACGACUUCACAGUUGUGUUGAUUGAAGGAAGUGAGCGUAUGCCGGCUAGUCCGGUAAAUCGUAUCAUGAUCAUAGCAUCGGGUUGGUGGGACAACCCUAGUCAGAGUGAGGGUUAACAAGAGUAGCGAACGGAUUCCAGUAUUUCAUUUUUCCUUUCACCCGGGUUUCCUCUUUUCUUAUCCGACGACUGCCAUGCUUCUACCUUUCUUAUCUGCCUACUACUAGCCUUCCUUCUUACUUUCUGGUUGGAGUAUUUCUAUUGACGGAUCGAGGUCCGGGUCCUUGGCCUACGCUUUGGAACC
rnacentral:misc_RNA from 1 species